rnacentral:rRNA from 3 species
AGUUCUCCCUGAGACUUUAAGUCUCCUGAAGGAACGUUGAAGACGACGACGUUGAUAGGCCGGGUGUGUAAGCGCAGCGAUGCGUUGAGCUAACCGGUACUAAUGAACCGUGAGGCUUAACCUUACAACGCCGAAGCUGUU